CCUCAACUGAAACCCACAAAGAAGACACAUCUGUCUUCUCUGCAACGAAAAAUGGAGAGGACACUUACUUGAGCAGUAUAGACAACUGAACCACUGAAAGCGGUCUCUUGGACAUGCACCGUUGUCUUGGUGUUUGGGAAGAGAUGGGAGCCCAUCACGUCUGCAUGGGACCUGGCAGCUCUCAUCCAGCAACCUACUGAAGAGGAACCGUGAUACAAAAAUUAACUGGUUUGGCCAUUCCAGAUAACACUGCCUGCUCUGAAGAGCACCUGUCUGAAAUGUUGCUGGAGCUUAGCUGCGGUAUCUGAGUCAAGUGGCGGGCUGUUAUGUCAAGAAAACCUAGAAAAAGUGUGAAUCAACAACAAGCGCUGCAUCCUACAGUCAGAGCCUGUCUGAAUGCAGGAGUUUGCAAUGUGAGUUUUAAUUUCACUUUGAUGAGUUCGAAUUUCGCUCUGGUAUUUCCACAAGUUCUGAACCAAGACUAAAGAAGGACUCAUUCUAACAAGGUGCAACCUCUAGAUAUUGUUAUGUAAAUACCAUAAAUGAUAGUUCUAUCUGUACCA